CCGAGUUUACAACUCCCAAACCCCUGUGAACAUACCUGUCGUUGCUUCGGCGGUCUCGCCCCGGCGCCCUCGUGCCCGGAACCAGGCGCCCGCCGGAGGCCUGAAAACCAUGAAUUUUGCUGAGCUCGUCUGAGUGGUACUAGCAGAAAUGCAAUCA
rnacentral:misc_RNA from 1 species